AGUGAACGCUGGCGGUAGGCCUAACACAUGCAAGUCGAACGGCAGCACAGUAAGAGCUUGCUCUUACGGGUGGCGAGUGGCGGACGGGUGAGGAAUACAUCGGAAUCUACUUUUUCGUGGGGGAUAACGUAGGGAAACUUACGCUAAUACCGCAUACGACCUACGGGUGAAAGCAGGGGAUCUUCGGGCCUUGCGCGAUUGAAUGAGCCGAUGUCGGAUUAGCUAGUUGGCGGGGUAAAGGCCCACCAAGGCGACGAUCCGUAGCUGGUCUGAGAGGAUGAUCAGCCACACUGGAACUGAGACACGGUCCAGACUCCUACGGGAGGCAGCAGUGGGGAAUAUUGGACAAUGGGCGCAAGCCUAAUCCAGCCAUACCGCGUGGGUGAAGAAGGCCUUCGGGUUGUAAAGCCCUUUUGUUGGGAAAGAAAAGCAGCAGGUUAAUACCCCGCUGUUCUGACGGUACCCAAAGAAUAAGCACCGGCUAACUUCGUG
rnacentral:rRNA from 1 species